AACCAAAAAAGCCGGAAUAGCUCAGUUGGUAGAGCAGAGGACUGAAAAUCCUCGU
rnacentral:tRNA from 1 species